rnacentral:rRNA from 1 species
AUUGAACGCUGGCGGCAGGCCUAACACAUGCAAGUCGAACGAGUGGCGGAAGGGAGAGUAAUGUCUGGGAACCUGCCUGGUGGAGGGGGAUAACUACUGGAAACGGAAGCUAAUACCGCAUACCAUCAGAUGUGCCCAGAUGGGAUUAGCUAGUGGGUGGGGUACAGGCUCACCAAGGCGACGAUCCCUAGCUGGUCUGAGAGGAUGACCAGCCACACUGGAACUGAGACACGGCCCAGACGCCUACGGGAGGCCGCAGUGGGGAAUAUUGCACAAUGGGCGCAAGCCUGAUGCAGCCAUGCCGCGUGUAUGAAGAAGGCCUUCGGGUUGUAAAGUACUUUCAGCGGGGAGGCGUUACCCGCAGAAGAAGCACCGGCUAACUCCGUGCCAGCAGCCGCGGUAAUUC